rnacentral:rRNA from 3 species
AACUUUCAACAAUGGAUCUCUUGGUUCCGGCAUCGAUGAAGAACGCAGCGAAAUGCGAUAACUAAUGUGAAUUGCAGAAUUCAGUGAAUCAUCGAGUCUUUGAACGCACAUUGCGCCCCCUGGUAUU